rnacentral:rRNA from 1 species
UGAAGAAUAUUGUUCAACGGCGGCGCGUCUGAACCAGCGACGUCGCGUGAAGGAAGAUGGCUCUACGGGGAGGAAACUUAGUUUGUAAGGGAAGGAAGUGAGGUCAGUGUACGUAUUUGCAUGCACCUGAAGAAUAAGGAUCGGCUAGCUCCGUGCCAGCAUCCGCGGUCAUA